CUAGGUAGCUCAGUUGGUAGAGCAACGGACUGAAAAUCCGUGUGUCGCCGGUUCGAUCCCGGCCUUGGCC
rnacentral:tRNA from 2 species